rnacentral:tRNA from 1 species
GCCUUCGUGGUGUAGUGGUCAGCACACUCGGCGCGUAUUCGAGAGGUCCGUGGUUCGAGUCCCGGCAAAUGAU